AGAAGAUUAAGUUAAUGGUAAACUGAAAGCCUUCAAAGUUUUUAAUGUUGGUUCAAGCCCAACAUCUUCUG
rnacentral:tRNA from 3 species